CACAAAAACCAUUCUGCCCGCACAGUUCAUUCGCCAGGAGGAAAUGGUCACUCUUAGACUCGGUGGUGCCGCUAAACCCUGUGCUGGUUUUCAAGGGAUUUGGAGAAAAAGAAAAGAAUCCUAAUACACCUGAGCAUUCAGCAGAUGGAAACUUGAUAUGUCAGCUAAAGAUGCAAUAAGAUAUCCACAGCUGUGGGAGGACAAUGGGGAGGCUGUAACCUUAUUUCCUCCAGACUGCCAUGAUGAAAUUCUGCAGACUGAUGUGCCAAUAGCUCCAAAACCCUCAGAUGAGCCUUUAAUAUUGACAGAAGGGAGUUUAAUCUUCUCUUCGAGUGGAAAACACUCGUGCUGCCCCAAGAUUCACCUCUCCAUGACUAAGUGAACUCUAAUUUUUCCAUUUGAAGAAAAGCUCUUAACAGAUCUGCUAUUAACAGUUGAAGUAAAACGUGGAAAAUUCUCAAAGUUAUUACAAAUGUUAUUCUCCGCUUCAACUCUUGUUUCCUUUGGGCAUGAAUUUCCAUUUCAUUUGAUUCUAUUUUAUUAGAACUAGCUGAGUAGUACGAUAAGAACAUUUGUUGUAAAAAGUGUCACAUACUGUACUUUUCUUUUGCAGAAUUUUGAACUGGAUUUCUGCUGUGCUUUCAAUCACACUAGCUCUUUUUGAGAAGUACUUUGACAUUAUUUUGUAACCUAAUUCUUUGUUUUUUAUGUACAAGCACAUCAGAUGUACAAAGCAAAAACAAGAAAAUAAAAUAUGCCGGGAGGAAUUGGAGAAAACUGCAAGGACAAAAAAUCUAAUAACAAUAGACACAGGAUGAGACACCAGGCUCCCAGAGAUACCAGCAGCUUGUCAGAGUGACUAGUGGAGGACAUUUCACUCACCACUGCCCAAAACAGUCACUUCCUCAAAAUCUGACACACCCUUCAGAUGGCAGAAAGCUGCAUAUGGUGAACUACAUGGAGACAGAUGCAACUGUGAAGCCUGUAUGGCUCACACAGUUAAAUGAGCUGGCCAAUGAUGGAAUAAAUGCUCACAUGCAGGGUACGUCAGGUUUACAGAUCUGACAGGGAUAGUGUAAGCCUCAGAAAUCAGAAAAUGAAUCGCAACUGCAGUUAUGAGAGAUACUUUCAAGGUUAGCAUAGGAAUAUUACUUUUCACCACAAUGACAUAAAAAUAAAUCUCACUUUCUGCAAAACAUUAUAUUUGGUUUCCAGGUAAGAAACAACGUGGAUCUGAGUUUAAAUUUAUAUUUAAUUUGGUUUUGAAGUGAAAUCCUUACACCAUGUACAUGCAUUACAUUGUAAACACAGUAACCAUAGACCAGCUGAUUACAUUCUCAUAAUGAAGGUUCAUCAGUAGUGGACUCAGACUGUCUGAGAGGCAAAAAAAAGGGCAUCAGCGGCAUGCUGUGGGGCACCAGCGCACAGUCAUGAUGCAUUUAUGUUGAAACACUUCCAAACCCUAGCAAAAUGAUAUUAUGUGACUCAGAUUUAAAGUAUAACUACUACACAUCUGCAAUAAAAACACACAGGGAACCAUUAACUACUUAACCAUAUAGAGGCAUGUAGAGAGCAACUACUUUUCUAGCAUGUAGGGCAGCCUAUAUGGCAUCACAUUACAUUUUCUCCAGGUUAUCACAUUUUCUCCAUCUUAAGAGCACCCAUUAGUGCACUGCAUCAAAUUUUAUCCACCAGUGGAGGCUAUUCAAAGUGCUUUAUAUGAAGUUUGGAAAAACAAAACAAAUCCCCCCCCCGGGAUCAAUUAAGUAUUUCUGAUUCUGUAUUUCUGAUUCUGAAUUGCAUGAGAAUAUAAUGUAAUUUCAGUGCAGUUAGAGUGCAUUAUGCUCAGUCACAAUGUGAGUGAGUGAAUACAGCUGAACCUUCAAAGCAUGUAGGAGAAAACUAUGGUAGAUGCCAAAAGACUUUAUUUAGACCCAGUGUCUGUAUAAAUAUGGCAGUUCAAAAUGGCAGUCUGUAGGUAAAAUGUAACAAAAACACAACAAUUUGUAUAUUCAGGUGGUAAUACACUAAUGAAAACUGAACUAUGAACAGAUCGUACUAAAUUUUACACACUGGAACUUUAACAACAUGUAUUGACCUUUUCUUGGUUUAUCUAAUGGUGUUUCAGAAGGUUUUCAUUAGUCCAGAGUUUCAGCAGCAGAGAAGUAGAGUGAUGGGCGGCGACAAGCUAUAUUGUCCAGGUGGAAAAAUGCAGUGCUGGUGAUUUGGUUGACGUGGUGUCCAAAGGAGAGUUUGCUAAUGAAAAUGACACAGAGGUUGGAGAUGUGUGGGGAGGGAGAAAUUGUGAGUGUUUUGGUGUCUUUCAAUACGGAUGUAUGGAUACUGGGCUUCUUUACCCAUAUCGGUGGAAGAUCAUUGCUUGCACAUUUGAGUCAUUUGUUGUUUGGCACCAACAACCUCAAAUCACAAGUUUACAGAUAUAUUUAGCCAAGUAGAACAGAUGUUAGUUGUUGUUCUUCAAACCCAGCAAAAUGCGUGUGUAUGUUCAAAUUGUGUCCUGCACCUUUAAUAAAAGCACAGAUUAGUUUAAGUAA